rnacentral:lncRNA from 1 species
UCCUGUCUGAUCUCUCCAGAACAUCCUGAGGACGAGGCAAGAGGCAGUAAUAGGUUCACAGCAGUAUUUACUUAAGUACACAGAGAACCGAAGAGGAGGAAGUGGAGUGCCCUGGACUGUAGUUCUCCUUACUUCUUUCCGGCCCUUCUGAAGCCCAACAACUCGGCAGAGUCUCUGAUAUGCAGUGUCUCCUUUCCAAGAAGCUCUGAAAACCACUGCAGUUACUUUAAUCUCCAUGAUACAGACCAGUACUCAGACGCAAACAGCUGGUUGAAGUUGUCUUAGACCCCUCUGGGAAUGAGGUUCAAGGUUGUAUGAAUAAAAUCACAACUCCACACUUUAAAUUAUUGCACUGCUUAAAACACUGAAAUGAGUUCUCCUGUAAGUAUCGCUGUGUGUUUUCUAUGCAGUGCCAGCAGGAUGCAAUUCAAAGCAGAGAUACAGAGAUAGUUAACAGUGUGUCUGCCGUUCAGUAGGUCAGCACUAUGACAUAUGACCUAUUGCGAUGUUCUGUUCUUUUCAGGUGUCCUGGUUGCCUACGAAGGCUUGCCACUUCACCUUGCACUGUUCCCCAAACUUUGGACUGAGCUGUGCCAGACUCAGUCAGCUAUGUCAAGAAACUGCGUCAAGCUUCUGUGUGAGGAUCCUGUUUUUGCAGAGUACAUUAAAUGUAUCCUAAUGGAUGAAAGAACUUUUCUAAACAACAAUAUUGUCUACACGUUCAUGACACAUUUCCUUCUAAAGGUAUGUAUGUAGUUCUUCUGAAAUGUCAUUUCUGUGUAAUUAUGUGUGGCUGUUAUUGCUGGUCUUGAAUUUUAGUAUUUGUACACAUUCAUGGACGUGAGUUCUUUUCCAGGUUCAAAGUCAAGUAUUUUCAGAAGCAAACUGUGCCAGUUUGAUCAGUACCCUUAUUACAAACCUGAUAAAUCAGUAUCAAAACCUACAAUCUGAUUUCACCAACCGAGUUGAAAUUUCAAAAGCAAGUGCUUCUUUAAAUGGGGACCUGAGGGCACUUGCUUUGCUCCUGUCAGUACACACUCCCAAACAGUUAAACCCAGCUCUGAUUCC